GGAUGUAAAUUAGAUAAUCUGGUGUGACAUCCAUCACUUCAUCAUCACCAGGAUUCAAUCAGCUGAUCUGACUGUCUAGGUGGCUGUGGCCUUUCUCCUGCUGCUCCACAUAUGUCCUUCCCAGAAUUGCACUUUUGCGGAAGAGUUUGAUCUUCUCCAUGGAGUAGGAUUGAUCUUUAGUCAAGGGUACAUGAGUAACUGUGCUCCUCUGCUAGAAGCUCCAAACAAGCCCCUCAAAGUAGAUCAGGAAGGUUCCAUCCCACUGGGCUACCAAAUGGAACACCCUGUUU
rnacentral:snRNA from 1 species